CAUUGGCAGACACACAGGCUCAAGGAG
rnacentral:misc_RNA from 1 species